UACAGAGGUCUCAAGCGUUGUUCGGAUUCAUUGGGCGUAAAGGGUGCGUAGGUGGCGCUGUAAGUCGGGUGUGAAAUUUCGGAGCUUAACUCCGAAACUGCAUUCGAUACUGCGGUGCCUGAGGACUGGAGAGGAGACUGGAAUUUAUGGUGUAGCAGUGAAAUGCGUAGAGAUCAUAAGGAAGACCAGUGGCGAAGGCGGGUCUCUGGACAGUUCCUGACACUGAGGCACGAAGGCCAGGGGAGCAAACGGG
rnacentral:rRNA from 1 species